AGGGCGGGACACGUGUUAUCCUGUCUGAAUAUGGGGGGACCAUCCUCCAAGGCUAAAUACUCCUGACUGACCGAUAGUGAACCAGUACCGUGAGGGAAAGGCGAAAAGAACCCCUGUGAGGGGAGUGAAAUAGAACCUGAAACCGUGUACGUACAAGCAGUAGGAGCACCUUCGUGGUGUGACUGCGUACCUUUUGUAUAAUGGGUCAGCGACUUAUAUUCAGUGGCAAGGUUAACCAUCUAGGGGAGCCGUAGGGAAACCGAGUCUUAACUGGGCGCCAUAGUCUCUGGAUAUAGACCCGAAACCGAGUGAUCUAGCCAUGGGCAGGUUGAAGGUUGAGUAACAUCAACUGGAGGACCGAACCGACUAAUGUUGAAAAAUUAGCGGAUGACUUGUGGCUAGGGGUGAAAGGCCAAUCAAACUCGGAGAUAGCUGGUUCUCCCCGAAAGCUAUUUAGGUAGCGCCUCGGACGAAUACUACUGGGGGUAGAGCACUGUUAAGGCUAGGGGGUCAUCCCGACUUACCAACCCUUUGCAAACUCCGAAUACCAGUAAGUACUAUCCGGGAGACACACGGCGGGUGCUAACGUCCGUCGUGGAGAGGGAAACAACCCAGACCGCCAGCUAAGGUCCCAAAUUACAGCUAAGUGGGAAACGAUGUGGGAAGGCUUAGACAGCUAGGAUGUUGGCUUAGAAGCAGCCAUCAUUUAAAGAAAGCGUAAUAGCUCACUAGUCGAGUCGGCCUGCGCGGAAGAUGUAACGGGGCUAAGUUGUAAACCGAA
rnacentral:rRNA from 1 species